rnacentral:rRNA from 1 species
CCUACGGGAGGCAGCAGUGAGGAAUAUUGGUCAAUGGACGAGAGUCUGAACCAGCCAAGUAGCGUGAAGGAUGACUGCCCUAUGGGUUGUAAACUUCUUUUAUCAAGGAAUAAAACGAGGCACGUGUGCCUUUUUGCAUGUACUUUAUGAAUAAGGAUCGGCUAACUCCGUGCCAGCAGCCGCGGUAAUACGGAGGAUCCGAGCGUUAUCCGGAUUUAUUGGGUUUAAAGGGAGCGUAGAUGGGUUGUUAAGUCAGUUGUGAAAUUUUGCGGCUCAACCGUAAUAUUGCAAUUGAUACUGGCAGUCUUGAGUACAGUUGAGGUAGGCGGAAUUCGUGGUGUAGCGGUGAAAUGCUUAGAUAUCACGAAGAACCCCGAUUGCGAAGGCAGCUUACUAAACUGUGACUGACAUUGAUGCUCGAAAGUGUGGGUAUCAAACAGGAUUAGAUACCCCAGUAGUC